rnacentral:lncRNA from 11 species
GAGAUUGAAUGCUGAGCUGGAAUUGCUGGAGUUGAUUUGUCCAAGUUGGAGUUGCUGUGGGUGUAUUAUUGCUGCAACAUCUGAAGAACAAGACUGUGGCAUCUUGCUGAAGUUAAGGAAUUUAUUGUUUACUAGUCAUCACAUGGAAGCAGCUGAAAAAUCCAAGGACUCUGCUGUAUUUGGGACUCAGGGUUGAUCACAGUACACAUACACAGCAAACAUUCAAUACCAUUUUGGACAGACAGAACAGAACAGAACAGAACAGAACACACAGAAAGUAGGUAUGUUGUGUUUUUAAAUCCAGCUUCGGUGCCUUGGAGGUUGUGGUCAGAUUCAGCCACAGGGGGUGCUUUGUAUGAUUUGUUCUCUAUUCCUCAUGUCAUCUUUAUUGACCUUCUCUGAACCUGCUUCAAC